UGACAGGUUAGUAUAUCCGUAAAAAAGGACGAAUUUCAUUUAUGCGUAGUUGACAAUCACGUGCCUGCAAUAAUAACAUAAUGACGUAAUGGGAUCGGUUUAGAUGGAUAAAUAGCCCGCUUUUUCAACUAAAUGUUUAAUCUCUUGUCUGUGAAAGAACGAGCAAAAUAUACACCUUCCAAAUGAAGUAUUUAGCUGUCCUUGCGUUAGUAGUCCUGUUUACCAUUAACUGCUGUGAGGGAUGUGGAAUUUGGAAUGAGAAUAAACCUUGUCAGUGUGCUUGUGAGGACCGGAGUGAGUCCUGUAGACAGACCUGCUACUUGAUGUGUCGAUAUUCACGCUGUAGAAGCACCGAGCUUAUACAACAGAGGCGAUGUUACGACAACUGCUUCAACACUUUCAGAUCCUGUUACAACGGUUGUGGUAGUGGAUAGAUGGUAUGCAGCGAAAAACAUCACCAUCAACAUUCAAUAGUGUAAAAAUCUUAAUAAAAUCCAAAUGCUGAUUAAAAUACUCGUCAUGAA